rnacentral:rRNA from 1 species
GCCCUUAGAGUUUGAUCCUGGCUCAGGAUGAACGCUGGCGAUAUGCUUUACACAUGCAAGUCGUACGAGAGUUUUUAACUCAAGUGGCGGACGGGUGAGUAACACGUAAGAAUUUGCCUUUAGGAGGGGGAUAACAACUGGAAACGGUUGCUAAUACCCCAUAUGCUUUCGAGUAAAAUGGAUUUUCCGCCUAAAGAGAAGCUUGCGGCUGAUUAGCUUGUUGGUGAGGUAAUGGCUCACCAAGGCGACGAUCAGUAUCUGGUUUGAGAGGACGAUCAGACACACUGGAACUGAGACACGGUCCAGACUCCUACGGGAGGCAGCAGUGGGGAAUUUUCCGCAAUGGGCGAAAGCCUGACGGAGCAAUACCGCGUGAGGGAUGACGGCCUAUGGGUUGUAAACCUCUUUUUUCAGGGAGGAAUCAAUGACGUGUACCUGAAGAAUAAGCAUCGGCUAACUCCGUGCCAGCAGCCGCGGUAAGACGGAGGAUGCAAGUGUUAUCCGGAAUCACUGGGCGUAAAGCGUCUGUAGGUGGUCAAAUAAGUCAACUGUUAAAUCUUGAGGCUCAACCUCAAAAUCGCAGUCGAAACUAUUCGACUAGAGUAUAGUAGGGGUAAAGGGAAUUUCCAGUGGAGCGGUGAAAUGCGUAGAGAUUGGAAAGAACACCGAUGGCGAAGGCACUUCACUGGGCUAUUACUAACACUGAGAGACGAAAGCUAGGGUAGCAAAUGGGGAUUAGAUACCCCAGUAGUCCUAGCCGUAAACAAUGGGAUACUAGAUGUUGAACAGAUCGACCUGUGCAGUAUCAAAGCUAACGCGUUAAGUAUCCCGCCUGGGAAGUAUGCUCGCAAGAGUGAAACUCAAAUGAAUUGACGGGGAAGGGC